UAUCCCAAGGAUAUGUCAUAUUUCCCCUAACACCUCCUUUAUCCCAAGAUUAUGUCAUAUUUCCCAUAACACCUCAUUUAUUCCAAGAUUAUGUCAUAUUUCCCCAUAAACACCUCCUUUAUCCCAAAAUUAUGUCAUAUUUCCCCUAACAUCUCCUUUAUCCCAAUGUUAUAUGUCAUAGCUCCCCUAACAUCUCUUCUAUCCCAAGAUUAUGUCAUAUUUCCCCUAACAUCUCCUUUAUCCCAAGGUUAUGUCAUAUUUCCUCAACACCUCCUUUAUCCCAAGAUUAUGUCAUAUUUCCCUUAACAUCUCCUUUAUCCCAAGAUUAUGUCAUAUUUCCCCUCAACACCUCCUUUAUCCAAAUAUUAUGUCAUAUUUCCCCUAACACCUCCUUUAUCCCAAUGUUAUAUGUCAUAUCUCCCCUAACAUCUCUUCUAUCCCAAGAUUAUGUCAUAUUUCCCCUAACACCUCCUUUAUCCCAAGGUUAUGUAGUAUUUCCCCUAACACCUCUUUUAUCCCAAGAUUAUGUCAUAUUUCCCCUAACAUCUCCUUUAUCCCAAUGUUAUAUGUCAUAUCUCCCCUAACAUCUCUUCAAUCCCAAGAUUAUGUCAUAUUUCCCCUCAACACCUCCUUUAUCCAAAGAUUAUGUCAUAUUUCCCCCAACACCUCCUUUAUCCCAAGAUUAUGUAAUACUUCCGCUCAACACCUCCUUUAUCCCAAGGUUAUCUCAUAUUUCCCCUAACAUCUCCUUUAUCCCAAGAUUAUGUCAUAUUUCCCCUAACACCUCCUUUAUCCCAAGGUUAUGUCAUAUUUCCCCUAACAUCUCCUUUAUCCCAAGGUUAUGUCAUAUUUCCCCUACCAUCUCCUUUAUCCUAAGGUUAUAUAUCAUAUCUCCCCUAACAUCUCCUCUAUCCCAAGAUUAUGUCAUAUUUCCCCCAACACCUCCUUUAUCCCAAGAUUAUGUCAUAUUUCCCCUCAACACCUCCUUUAUCCCAAGGUCAUAUUUCACCUCAAAUACCACUUUCCUGAGAAGUUCUCCCCAUUUAAUAACAUCUACACACAUGGUUUUUUUCAGGUAUAUAAUCUUCUUAAUUAAACUACAAGUGUUCUUUAAUGCACCAAGAAAGUGCAUUGAUCUAUAGUGUAUUAAUGAAGUCAAAGUAUUAAUUAGUAACUGUUUAAUCAAUGACUCCUUCCAAGCAUUCACCAGUUUCUGUUGCAUUGAUUAGAAACGUCUUCCUAUAUUAUAAUGUGAUAGUGACUGAUUUUAUAACUCAAUAAAUGUGUUAGGCAAAUAGGUGGUUAUGUUUUUAUCUAUAUUGUACAGGGUAAUGUUAUAAAAUGAGUGUUUAUUAUUCCCAAAGGAACAAUUACUUUGGGUUCUAUGGAACACAGAUUACAGGAAAGGUUAGGGAAUUAAAUGCAGUUCACAGAAUUAUAUGUAGUCCACGAAACAAACUUACAUAUUACUGGUUGUUAGAAUAUUCUAAACCUUACAGAGGCACUGUGGAUGUAUUAGCCAAGUCCUGUUGGUUUUGUUUUUUAUUAAGAAAACCCCAACCCUAAACUUGUGUCAUAUUGGGGUCUUCAUUAAGCAGUCUUUAGAACUGAGUGGGUCAGAUCCAUGUCAGACAAGUUUAUGAUUGUGUAUUUUUAUACAAAUUUGUAAAUUCAACUCUUUCUUAAAAAUAUGUUCUAUUGUAUUGUAUUGCAUUGUAUUGUAUUUAAUUGUAUCAUUGUUUGUUUGUAUUGCUUGACUCUUAUGGGUGUAAUUUUGCAAUAAAUAUUUAAACUAAUAUGUUUUUUUUUUAGAGGGGGAGGGUUCUUGAUGAGGACUUUAAGUUUGAAUAAAUGAAAAAUCAAAAUUUUACCAAAUAUUUCAAUCUUUUACUAGUAAUUGCUGCUGUGACUAUGACCUCUUUCCAAAACCAAGUGAAUUUAAAAUCAACAGCAAU